UCACAAUCACGGCCCUCGAUAAACAGAGCCGCACCCACCGUCCAAAUUAAUUAUUUGCACUUGAUAAUUGUGUUAUAAUGUCUCAUGUCAGCUAUGCACUUGAUAAUUGUGUUAGAAGCUUAGAAGACUGAUUUUUGGUGUAUUCCUGUUUGGUUCAUAGAUGAUCUUGAUGCCAAAAGAUAGAGCGCCGAAAAAUCGCGAGAAAUACAUCUUUGGCUGAUUUCCAGAAGCUAUGAUCGUAGCUUCCGAGCGUUUACGCCCUCUCGGAGCUUCACCAUACGUGUGCUUGACGCUCAUACUGUUCCAAAACCCUCAUUCGCACAUGCAUCUCUCUCAGGUCGCAACAGGAGAUUACAAAUCACUCGGUGCUCGUUUUUCUCGCGGCGGUGGUCGUCCACCAUUUGAUUCGUGGUUUGCAUAGUACAACUCAAUAUGUGGUGGCGGUGGUCGUCCACCAUCCCAAUAUGUAUUGGUGAUUUGGUCCGACCUCAUCAUAAGGGGACACGUGGAUGUGACUCAACAUAAGUGACAACUCAGCGCGACCAGUCCGCCAAGAUCCAAUGUGGCAGUCCGCCAACAUAAGAUGACACUCCGAUUACCCUGAGCUAAGAUUCUUCCAAGAAGGAAGCGCCCCGAGCUAAGACUUUCGCCAGACGAGAAUCUCUCGAGCUCAAGGCACUUCGGGUUGAGCUCGGCAGCCUCCUAAGAAUAAACUCUCCCGACCAAACUCAAGUAGGCCACCUCGGGUAGAAGCACCUCGACACAGGGUAGCUCGGAGCAGAGCAACUCGGCAUAUCACAGGAAGAUCUCCUGCCUGACAACCGUACCUGCCAAAUCUGGAGACUACGCCCACGUCUCUCGCCAGGCGGCGUCGUGCCUGCCAACCCUGAGAGGUGUCCCUUGUCUGGGAGGACCGUACUCUACAACGAUUACCUGCGCCCACCAGCUCAGCCCUGGCAAGUAACAGCUGCAGUAGAGACUCAGAGGCGGUUAUGCUUGAUUUGUCAGGACAUCAAUAUAUAAGAGCAAAGGAGAGCUCCCCGGGGAUCCUUCUUCUUCCUCACAUGUAUCUCGUCCAUCGCCAGCUAGGAGUGCAGCCGCUGCCAGGUAAGAGUGACCAGAUCGCGCACCAUCAGUUUUCUUCCUUGAAAGUUACACUUGACAUAGGUACAUGGUGAAUGAAUGCAUUGGGUAGAUAUGUAUGACUGUGUUACAUGUUUGAGACAAGAUUAUGGGCUUGAGGCAGGUUGAUGAUUAAUGAAUGGAUGGGUAUAUUUUUAUGCCUGUUUUUUUCCCCA